GGCCUUGUAGCUCAGUUGGCUAGAGCUUUAGCUGUACUAAAUCGUGGGUUCGAAUCCCACGGAGGCCG
rnacentral:tRNA from 1 species